CGAACUGGGAGUGGAGAGAGUUCUGUCAGCCCUCCCCAGUUGCCCUGCAGUUUGGGGAUCUGAAGGCGCCCCCUCCCGCACACGCUUUCCUCCCGCCGCCUCCGCGGUCCCGAGCCCCACCUCCUCUCCUUGCCGCGACGUUCCCGAGUGGAUUGCGCGGCCCAAGGACCGAGCCUACCCAGUCACCGCGGCUGCUAUUGAUCCCGAGAGUGGCGGCCGCCCCUGGCGUCUUCCCUCCUCUCCCAUCACGCUUCUGUCCAACCCACGCCCCCCAGAAAAGGGCCGUUAGGUCGCGAAAGGAGGCGCCUGGGGCGGAGCCGGCCUAGGUGGUUGCUCUGUGCCGAACCGCGGGCAACUGCGCGCCCGGCCACACCCGUCCAGGAGGAGAGAGGAAGGAGCGAGCCGAGAGCAUCCCAGGACCUGCCCAUCCUGGAGGCCCAGCAAACUCUGCACAGACUCGGAGACAUCCCACGGCACUGGGCUCCGGUGAGCCAACUUCCUGACUUCAGCAGUGUGAAGAUGCUACGACAUAUUCUGGUGCUGGCAUUCAGCUGUCCCCCAAGCAGGUUGGCUGAUAUCCAUGCUGAUCCCUGGAGAGGGGCCUGAAAAGACAGUUCUGAUGACUUCAUUGCUGGUGGCAGAGGAUUUGGGGAGCAAGGGUGGGAAGGGUGAGUCCAAUUGCUGUUUAAAUUGGACUUGGCCCCCUUUACCGCCUAGUCUAAGGUGUCUCAGUAGGAGGAAAGGUAGUGAGAGAAACUUAGAAGCCAGGAAAGCAGGCAUAGGGAGGGGUUCCUUGUCUUAAUCCGGGUACUGUCAUGCCAAAAUGAAGCCCAGAGAUGGUUAAAAACAGAUUCCUAGAGAGCAGAGCUUUGAGGUUCCAUGUGGGAUCGCGGCCUGACUCUUGGGAGAUGAAGAAGUUUUGGGCAAGUUUGGAAAGACCUGCAAGCGCCAUUUGUUCAUAAUCUUUGGGGGAUAAAUGCAAUGUCUCAUCGCUGCCCAGUGGCUGCUAAGGAAGCCUUCUUAGCUUGUUUGUUGCUCAUUUGUGGUUCUGCCAUCUUCUCGCUCAUGUUCCAGUUUGGUCUUGUAGAAGAAGACCAAGCCUUCCCAGCUCUUUAGUUUUUCUUUUCCCUCUGGCUAUCCAUAAGUCAGCCAACAUUCUAGUCCGCUGGCCGGCACACAAUUUCGGAAGGUGAGCUGGCAGGCCCAUCACUAUGUGUGCAAGGUUGUUGUUGUUUGGGCCCCAGGAAGGAUAUAGUUUCAACACUUACGAGAAAGAAAAGCAGGGGAGCAUUCCUGUGAAAUCUUUCGAUGAAGAAUUUACCAUUUGAUAAGUGCAAUGCUCCAUUUCCUCUUUCUGAAUGAAUAACUUUGUCAGUUAACGCUGAGGGUCUGCAGAACCUAUGAAAAAAUGCUUCCUUUGGUCUCCCUGUUUUAACACAUGCUGGGGCAUGGGCCUUCCUGUGACAGACUGGGGAGGGGCAGACACAUUCCAGAGACCAGGUCUUGGAGUGUUAUCUCUUCGCCUACCCCAAACCCUCACCUUCCACUUUAUCUGUCUUUACUACACAUGCAGAGACCUCCUGGAGGAGUGUGAAGGGGUAGGUUUUAAUCAGGUUUGGGGAAGGAAGGAGAAGAAGGUGAGCCCAAAGAAAUAUGGGGACAGUUUGAGGUUUUUAAAUGACACUUUUCUGUUAUACUACUCAUAUGUUGUGUAUUAUAUCCUACAAAUUGUGCAUUUGUUGUAGUAGUCUACAAUGUAUGUGUGUGCUUGCCAAAUGCUGCUUGGCCAAAACAGUGUUAAAUAAAAUUGUAAGAAAUGCUGCCA